UGAAAAUCACCUUAGAACUCCCAGGCAGUAAACACAAAGUGGGCCAAAGUUGGUCUUUAUAAGUGUAUUGCACUUAUAAUCACUUUUCUUUCAUACUCCAAGUCAAAUGAAUUUAAGGAAGAGGGGAGGAGUAUAUGUCACUGACUACUAAAAAAAGGCGGAUCCAAUAUUGGUCCUACGAAGAGCUAUUUCCAGGCAAUACUACUCAUUCUAAAUAGAAAUAUUUUAGAACUCUCUUUGAGUUCUUUCAACUGGUUCACGACCAAGCUCAAUUCCUAGUAUUUUAAGAUUCUAACAAGACCAUCAAGAACUUCCACAAGAACUCAAGUCAAGGAUUUGUUUGAAAGAGGUAAUUUCCUUACCCCAUCUCUGGAUAUAAUCAUGGAUUGAGUAUCUUGAAGGUGUUGUGAAGUGAAAAUUACUACUUGUGUUGAGGAUUUAUGCAAAGUCUUAAAGUGGGUAAUGUUCAGACUAGGGCUAAAUUAGGGAAGAAGAUGAAUAGUGAAAUUUAAGGGAAAUUUUGAGUUGAAUAAUUAUUCCACCAAUUUCAAUAGCUUAAUUAGCGCCAUAAAACGAAUUAUUGGACAUGGCUUAUCGAUUAAACGAAGGAAUGAAAUUUUGGGUGGCUUCUAGCUAGCUUUGGCUACUAAAUGGAUUAUGUUGGAUUCUUGUGAGUAUGAAUUGAUGUCAAAUAGUGAUAGAUUGAAUGCGUUUGGGACGUCGUUAAGUACGUGGAGAUUACGUUAGAAUUUUAGAGGCUAACUUGAGGUAUGCUGAGCCUUAAGCUAUAUUGUGUAUUUUUUUAAGACUUUAUGUCUUGAUAGAAUAAAAUGCAUAAGCUUCACCUGUACGUGUGGGACAAGCUUGCAUGACUUGCUCCGUGACUCAAGUAAUAAAAAACUUGGCAUAAAAUUUCUAAGAGUUGGAAAUACUAACAAGUUUGGUAUAAUUUUUUUUAUGGACUGAAUAACUUGUCUUUAGUGCAUUGCGACAUUCGGAUAUUUUCUUUAUUUUAUUAUCGACAUAAAUUCAUGGCUCACUUUAGGAUGAUGGGACAGAAUUCUCCUUCUCGAUUUUUAUUGAUGUAACAAAUAGAAACACUUGAAUUAAUGAUCGAAAGUUUGGUUACCGAGUCAUGGGUGACAAUAAAUUAAUUGAUUAUUAUAUACUUAAAACAUAGACGGAAGGGCUAUGUAUCCUUUGAUUGGGUCAUUGAAACAUAGACAUAAGGCCUAAGUAAUCUAUUGUCAUAUACCUGAAAAGACAGACGGAAGGGCUAUGUACUAUAUUAUUAUACACAUGAAACACAGACAUAAGGAUUGCGUACUAUACCAACGAUAUUCUGAAACAUAGGUGGAAAGAUUAUGUACCAUUCAGUUACUCGGUAAAAGUUAAUGGUUCUAAUUAUACCUUGAAAGAUUUAUGCUUACACUUGAUAUCUUUGAUAAGUUUAAUUAUUUAAAUUGAUUAAUCUCUCUUAUGCAUUUAAUAUUUUUAUUGCGCAUCUCUUGCCCCACCAUGAGUGAUUGGUUAUGAUGCAUAUCUGAGUAUUUCAAUACUCAGGCAUCCUUUAUUUAAUUGAUGUCAGCUUUGGCAGACGGUUGAGUGCAGGGCGGUCAGCGUACAAGGUAGAGUUCUUGCAUCUUCUUUUUUUUUUUGGUGAGCCCACAUUUGUACUCGUGGGACUACUCCAUUUCAGUUGUAUAUUUUGGUAUAGUGCGAGCUAUCCUCGUAGCUUUAUUAUCUCAUCCGUAGCGUCAUAAAGGCUCCAUAGAUGACUUGUAUUAUUUUUGGGUUAUGGGUACUUAUGAGAUCUUACGAAUGAUGUUUUAUUUCAUAUCUUGGUUUA